ensembl:rRNA 5S_rRNA 5S ribosomal RNA
GUCUACGGCCAUACCACCCUGAACGCGCCCGAUCUCGUCUGAUCUCGGAAGCUAAGCAGGGUCGGGCCUGGUUAGUACUUGGAUGGGGGACACAGGGAACAGCCUUGAGUUAAUCU